rnacentral:rRNA from 1 species
UACAGAGGGGGCAAGCGUUGUUCGGAAUUACUGGGCGUAAAGGGCGCGUAGGCGGCCAACUAAGUCCGACGUGAAAUCCCCAGGCUUAACCUGGGAACUGCGUCGGAUACUGGAUGGCUUGAAUUCGGGAGAGGGAUGCAGAAUUCCAGGUGUAGCGGUGAAAUGCGCAGAUACCAGGAGGAACACCUACGGCGAAGGCAGCUCGCUGGGACGGUACUGACGCUGAGACGCGAAAGCGUGGGGAGCAAACAGG